GAUGAACGCUGGCGGCGUGCCUAAUACAUGCAAGUCGAGCGAACAGACGAGGAGCUUGCUCCUCUGACGUUAGCGGCGGACGGGUGAGUAACACGUGGAUAACCUACCUAUAAGACUGGGAUAACUUCGGGAAACCGGAGCUAAUACCGGAUAAUAUAUUGAACCGCAUGGUUCAAUAGUGAAAGACGGUUUUGCUGUCACUUAUAGAUGGAUCCGCGCCGCAUUAGCUAGUUGGUAAGGUAACGGCUUACCAAGGCGACGAUGCGUAGCCGACCUGAGAGGGUAUCCGGCCAAAAUGAAACGGAGACACGGGCCAGACCCCUACGGGGGGCAGAAGUAGGGAAUCUUCCGCAAGGGGCGAAGGCCUGACGGGGAAACGCCGCGUGAGUGAGGAAGGUCUUCGGAUCGUAAAACUCUGUUAUUAGGGAAGAACAAAUGUGUAGUAACGAUGCACGUCUUGACGGUACCUAAUCAGAAAACCACGGCUAACUACGU
rnacentral:rRNA from 1 species